CCUAUAUACGUGCAUGUGUUCCAUUCCUAUGGCGUUAGGGACAGUUUCCUGGUGGGUCCCAGCCAGUACUUCCUUGAGCAGACAGAAUUUUGUUCUCCUGAAGUUCAGUGUCCUCUUUUUGGAAGUUCAGGGUCUUCUGCUUUUUGCCAGACCCGUAUUCCUCAGGGUCACCAACUCCACCAUGUAGCGGUCGUCACCAGGCAAUCGUAACCUCUGUAAAGCUCUCUUCCACACUGGUGAGCACCAAGGCUAGUAAGGUUACACCUCGUGUCGGUCCAUCUAUUACCUGGACCAGGACGUUAUCCUCAACAGACUCCAGGAGUCUCCUGGAUUGUCUGGAUCUCGCCAUGCCACUAUCCCAGCAGAUAUCUGGGUGGUUGAAAUCCUCCUCAGGACAAGAGCUUGUGAGCACAACAGUUGUAGCUGAAGCAAGACCUCGCCAACAUACUCAUCAGUUCGUAGCCAUCAACAGCCACGCUCCAGUCAUGGGAAUCAUCCUACCAGCUUUCCAUGAUCUACAUCCAUGGUUCCCUACACAGUCUUCCUCCCAAAGACCACUGCCCACGUCCUGAAGACCCCAGCCCACAAUUCUUGGGAGGCUUUGCACAAGGACUGAUAAGGUAAUUAGCAUAUGAAGCGAGAGUGGGCAGGUUUAGGUAAUGAAUAUGUAUAGACAUCAAUUGAAUAUUCAUUGUUUUGCUGUAUAAAUAUGAGAUAGUUUGUUACUUCGAACAUGCACGUUAGGUGGAAGGAACCCCCUAUGCAUCCAGAACUGACAAUAAAGGAUACUUCGUCACUUA